GAUGAACGCUGGCGGCGUGCCUAAUACAUGCAAGUCGAGCGAACGGACGAGAAGCUUGCUUCUCUGAUUUUAGCGGCGGACGGGUGAGUAACACGUGGAUAACCUACCUAUAAGACUGGUAUAACUUCGGGAAACCGGAGCUAAUACCGGAUAAUAUUUUGAACCGCAUGGUUCAAAAGUGAAAGACGGUCUUGCUGUCACUUAUAGAUGGAUCCGCGCUGCAUUAGCUAGUUGGUAAGGUAACGGCUUACCAAGGCAACGAUGCAUAGCCGACCUGAGAGGGUGAUCGGCCACACUGGAACGGAGACACGGUCCAGACUCCUACGGGAGGCAGCAGUAGGGAAUCUUCCGCAAUGGGCGAAAGCCUGACGGAGCAACGCCGCGUGAGUGAUGAAGGUCUUCGGAUCGUAAAACUCUGUUAUUAGGGAAGAACAGAUGUGUAAGUAAAUGUGCACAUCUUGACGGUACCUAAUCAGAAAGCCACGGCUAACUACGUG
rnacentral:rRNA from 1 species